CAUUGUUUUUAUUGUAUUUUAGGAGUUUAACGAGAGCUUUGCUGAUAAACAUUGAAUUAUGAAAUGUACAUCAAAAUUUGAGCAGGAGUUAGAAUCCUUACAAGAGGCCCACAGGUCAAUGGUGGCCAGUACUGCAAGGAAAGAGAAACUGGAAUUAGUAAUGAGACAAAAGUUAGAAGAGGAAUUGAAGCAAUACAGAGAAU